ensembl:lncRNA
GCGUGAUUUAAUACAGUAAGUUUUACACUAUAUAGCACCGUAACUUGUAAAAUAUUUAGUAAGGUAAGUUAUACACUAUAUAUAGUACAUUCUUUCUUUCUUUCUUUUUUCGAUGUUAAAUAGUAUUUAUUACUAUUUUAUAAUGUAUAAUGCUGUUUUAACGGUUGUCUGUCCCACUAGUUAGUACAGUAGGUUUCAUACUAUUUCACUUCAGGAGGCUGUACACUGUUUAGUACAGUAGGAUUCAUACUAUUUCACUGCAUGAGGCUGUACACUGUUUAGUAUGGUACGAUUCAUACUAUUUCACUGCAUGAGGCUGUACACUGUUUAGUACAGUAGGUUUCAUACUAUUUCACUUCAGGAGGCUAUACACUGUUUAGUACAGUAGGAUUCAUACUAUUUCACUGCAUGAGGCUGUACACUGUUUAGUACAGUAGGUUUCAUACUAUUUCACUUCAGGAGGCUAUACACUGUUUAGUACAGUAGGUUUCAUACUAUUUCACUUCAGGAGGCUAUACACUGUUAGUACAGUAGGUUUCAUACUAUUUCACUUCAGGAGGCUGUACACUGUUUAGUACUGUAGGAUUCAUACUAUUAUUUCACAAACCCGUGAACAGAAGAACAGAGGUAAAAGUUACAGUUAUUUUGUCUCUCCUAUGUCGGUAAAUGUUCACAGUUUCAACCAAAAGGUACAACAGAACUUCUUUUUUUUUUUUUUUUUGUAAGCAUCCUACGGCUUUUUGAGAACGUUUAUUCACGUCCCUUUUACAGUUCAUCUUCACUCAACUACCUCCAUCCACUUCCUAUCCUUCUCCUUCAGGAGAUUUCUCUGUGCUGUGAAACACAGAGCUGCACUCUGUUUAAGCCAACACGAUUCAGUCAGUACUGCAGUCCAAAUCCGACUUUAGCCUUAGCGUGAUAUCGGAAAAUGUAACGGAUCACGGAGGGAAACACCAAACUACUUCUUUGUGUGGCGGCACUUAUGAUUUUACGACCUGGAAUUAGUCAAAAAGAAAGGAAACGCGACCAACUCCGGCUGUACAUGAAGAGCAGCUCAUGGAAAUGAAGGAAUGUUGUGUAGUUUUAAAUAAGAAAGAAGCUAAAGCUGACCUGUGUGCUGGUGAAGUCUCUCAUUCUUCUCGCGCUGUUGUUCCUCUCCACCCCGGCAUUGUGGCCCAUUCAGGAAGUCUUCAACAGGAUCUUCCCCUCUCUCUCUCUCUCUCUCUCUCUCUCUCUCUCUCUCUCACACACACACACACACACACACACACACACACACACACUUUCAUCUGUCUCUGUUCUCUCUUUUGUCUUCCUUCCCACCCUUAAUUUUUUUCUACUUCUUCCCACUUUUCUCCUCUUGCUCUCUUUCUCACUCUUUCAUUUGUCUCUUCUCUAUUGCAGUCUCUUUUUAUAUUCUCCCACACUUUUAAUUUACUCUUUUAUCAUUUUCCUCAUCUUUCUAUUUAGAUUUCUGCCCCCUAUUUUUCUUCAGCUCUUUUACCUCUUAUUACAGUAAUCAUCUCUUUUUUU